rnacentral:rRNA from 1 species
ACUCCUACGGGAGGCAGCAGUGGGGAAUUUUGGACAAUGGGGGCAACCCUGAUCCAGCCAUGCCGCGUGAGUGAAGAAGGCCUUCGGGUUGUAAAGCUCUUUCGGCCGGGAAGAAAUCGUAUCAGCUAAUACCUGGUGCGGAUGACGUACCGGCAUAAGAAGCACCGGCUAACUACGUGCCAGCAGCCGCGGUAAA